rnacentral:tRNA from 1 species
UGAGAUGUAGUUUAAAGGAAAAUGAGGGUUUUUGAUUCCCUUGAUAGAAGAUCGCAACUUUUCAUCUCAG